CCAUUCCCUGUUACUAGAUAGAUAUCAAUGGAUUGACUACCUUCAGAUGUCUGGCUUUAUUCAUGAAAAAAUGGGGAUUGUCUUUGUGAUUCUAGUUCUGUAAAAAAUUUUGCUUGUAUAUAGGGAGUUCCCAUUGUGGCUCAGCAGUAACUAACCUGACUAGUCUCCAUGAGGAUGUGGGUUCAAUCCCCGGCUCUGCUCAGUGGCUUAAGUAUCCGGCAUUGCUGUGAACUGUGGUGUAGUUUGCAGACGUGGCUCAGAUCCAGUGUUGUCAUGGCUGUGGUGUAGGCUAGAAGCUGCAGCUCUGAUUCCACCCCUAGCCUGGAAACUUCCAUUUGCCACCGAUACGGACCUAAAAAGCCAAAAAAAAAAAAAAAAAAAGCUUAUAUAGAUACAACAAAUAUAACUAGGUUUAGCUUUGAGUUGGGUUUCUGAUACAGGUUCUUCUAGAAUGGUGAACUACCGUAUUUUAUUACUUCACACCUAGAGGUUCAGCUCAGGGUGUAGAUAAUUGCCACUGACGGGAGGUUAAAGGGCACUGAAGUUCUAAACCAGGGUCAAGUAUUAGUCAAAGCGAUGGCUGGUUUAAUCCAAGGCAGCCAGAGAACCAGCACCACUUAUGUGUAUUGGCUGCAACUCAAGCAAACAAACAAAUACGUGCACUGGAUUUCCUGACAUCACGGAGAAGGGUUAGCUUGCUUCAUGCCCGGCCGUACACAAAGCAGAGGAAUUAGCCUCCCCAUUAUUAACACUCUCCAAUUUUCUAAAAGAGGAAAACCUCUUGCCUUGGAACCUGUAAGGAUUCCAUCAGUUUAGAAACAAUGCUAAUACGUGCUAGACACGGCGUAGACCCAACUCAGCUCUUUCUGUUUUACUUCUCUGUCUCUUCACAUGGACACCUUUUUACGUGUCCAGUUGCUCUCAACUCAUAGAGCAAUGGAAGUGACAACAAGAAGAACGAACAACAACAAAAAAAGAUGAGCAGACAGGCAAGGCUCAUGUUUUUCACCUCCUUUCCUAUUGACCAUACACUGCAUGUAGCAAGUGGAAGGCUCUGGUUGGUAGUCAAGAGAAUUUAUAGGGCUUUGAGUUAGUAACGAAAGCAUAGUCAAGACCUUUCAAGACCUUUCAAUCAUGAUAAAACUGAAUAACUUUACAAAAAGGAGCUUUCUAGUGGAAGAAGAUGGUCGGAAGGGAAUCUUCUGUCCAUCUCUGGCGGCUAAGAUGGCAAUGAUGUUUGCCUGCUCUUAGAAAUGAGAUCUAUCACUGUUAGAGCCUUUAAAUGAUGAUUCAGGUUUAAAUCUUCUAACUGAAUUGGCAAGUUGCUCAUUUAGAAGGCAAACAGGUAUAGAGAUUUUUUUACUUGGUUCAUUAUCCACAGUGAAUUACCUAUUCAAUUGAAUAGUAAACAUUGAAAAAAUCUCCUUGACUUACCUUUUCAUCAAGUUCAUCAAAUUCAAUCUGCCGCUCUGUGACGGAUUAUAAAAUUAAAAUCAGACACACGCUUCAGGGAAGAGCAAAAGUUUGGGUAGGAGAUAAAACGUUGAUAGAAUCUUGCCGAAAUGUGGGCGUGCUCUUGGUUAAUUAAAAAGCCUCCCCAGUCCACUUGAAAAUGUUACAUCCUGAAGCAGUCUGUAUCCACAGAUAUCCACAGUUUUAAGAAUUAUUUUUUAGGUAAAAUGCUAAAAUUCAGAAGAGUAACAGGAGGCUACAGAUCAGAGUUGGCAAAUCCGUCCACAGGCCAAAUCUGGCCUGUCACCUGUUCUUAUAAAGUUAUAUGGGAAAAAUGCUAUGGUUGUCUGUUUAAAUAUUAGAUUUAUUUAAAAAAAAUUUCCCAGUAACUCCUAUGUCAUGUAGAAAACCUGCUGUAUUUACUGAUUAAAAUGUUUGCCAACCCCUGUGCAGAGUACUUGAGCUGGUAGCACAGUGUUUAUUUGCAAUUCCUCUUUUCCUUAGCCAUGGAAGAUGACAGCAAAACCCCUAGUAUUGUGAACAGGAAGUUCGGAAUUGAGAAUAUAAUUAGUUGCCCUUAGAGUAAUCAGCCUUAUUUUAGAUAAGCAACUCCAAUGACAUAUUUAGCCUGAGCCAGGAUCAUCAGGUAUUUAUGUCUGUGGUAUGUUUUUGUUGUGUGUAAUAAACAAGCAGAACAUCCAGAGAGGCUCUAGAUCAUGGCACACGGUCAAGUUCAGACACCCAGCAGUUACCUCUCCCUAAAGUCAGGACUUCUUUCCACUGUUUCACAGAUGUGGCAUGGCACACCAAGGCUCACAAAAUUGGGUAAUUGCUGACACUGUUUUAAACUUUUAGAUCUACCCAGGAGGACUUCCCUUUCUCCACAAUUUUCUUAUGACAACUAUUAUGGAAACUUCCAAGCCUUAUUAUGUACAUACAAUGAAGCAAUUACUGUUUCCACCUGCUCUACUCCAAGUCUCAGAAUGGUUGGUUAAACUGCAGAGUAUGAAUUGGUCACUAAAGCUGAACCAACAGUAAACUCAGAUGAGAGAUGACUCUGGCUACCGGGAGGGAUGAUCAUUUUUAUAGUUGAUUUACCAUGUAGUGUUCAGGUCUGCUGUACAGCAAAGUGACUCAGUGGUACCUGUAUACACACGCAUUCCCGUAUAGGUUAUCACAGAACAUCGAGGAGAUUGCCCGGUGCUUUGUUUUUAGUAACUUACAAGCACAUUCACAAACAUUAUCUCAUGGAGUCCUCACCGUAAUUCUGCAAGGGGAGCCAAGGUCAACAUCCAUGGGAUCAGCUCAUGGGGUGUUCAUUUCCUCACCAACACUUGCAUGACGAAGAGUCAAAACACUAGAGAACAUUCAUAACUCAUAGAUAGAAUCAGGUUUUCACAACUCGUAGGUAGAAUCAGGAUAAACAACAAGAGCCUAUUGUAUAGUUCCGAGAACUAUAUUCAGUGGCCUGUGAUAAACCUUAAUGGAAAAGAUGAUAGAAAAGUGUGUGUAUAUAUGUGUAUAUAUUUAUAUACGUGUACCUGAAUCACCGUGUUGAAAGUAACACCGCAUGGUAAAUCAACAAUGCUUCAAAGAAAAACAAAAUUUAAAAAAAUACAUUUGAUUUUCUGCAAUAUCCUACACGAACUUCUGAAGAGAAUCCACUCACAAGGAGUCACAUUAGAUCCCAUUUGUCAUUUGUCCAUAGAACUUCGUUGAUAAUUAAUCAGUCCCAUGUGUUGUUUAGUCACUGUCUUUGUUUCCCAUUGCCACUUAGCAAAUUGUCAAAAACUUGAUGGUUUAAAAAAUGAUAAUCUGGGAGUUCCCGUCGUGGCUCAGUGGUUAACGAAUUGGACUAGGAACCACGAGGUUUCCGGUUCCAUCCCUGGCCUUGCUCAGUGGGUUAAGGAUCUGGUGUUGCCGUGAGUUGUGGUGUUGGCCGAAGAUGCGGCUCAGAUCCCAAGUUGCCGUGGCUCUGGUGUAGGCCGGCAGCUACAGCUCCGAUGAGACCCCUAGACUGGGAACCUCCAUAUGUCAUGGGGGAAAUCUCUAGAAAAGACAAAAAAAAAAAAAAAUCUUAAGACUUUAUAGUUGGGAGGUCAGAAGUCUGUAAGUCAGUCUCCCUCUCCCAGGACUGAAACAUGGGGUGGGCAGGGCCCUGCUCUAGGGGAAAACAGUCCCAGCCCACAUUCCUUGGCUCGAGGCUCCCUUCCAACUUCAAGGUCGGCAAUGGCCAAUCAAGAGAUGCUCACACUACACCCUUCUGAUGCCGACUCUUCUCUUUCCUUCUUCCAGCUUUAAGAGGCCUGCUCGGAUGACCCAUGACAGUUCCCCUCUCUUAGUCAUUUCAUUAGUAAACCGAAGUUGUUCACUGCUUUCCCUUUUGCUGUGUAAGGAGGCACAACAGGCUCCCAGGAUUAGGAUGUAGGCAUCUGGGGGCGAGGGAGGGGUGGCAUUAAUGUGCCUGCCACUGUCACCAUGUCAAGCACUGUCCUAAAGGCUGGAGUGACCUCAGCCAGUGAUGCUCCCAGAUGUGCUAUGAUGACUAUUCUUGAUCUGUUCUAUGGCUGAGAAAAUCACCUCUGCCAGAACUGGCUUCUCUCGGGUCACGACUGGUCCCUGGCAGAACGGGGUUCUGACUGCUUCCUGCUGCCUGCCCCUGAAUGCUUUAUUCUUUGCAUGAGGCCCUGAAGCUUCCUGUGUCUGUCCUCGUCCUUACCAGGCACUGACCCCAGGGUUUGUCCAGUUCGCUGUGAAAUGUAUCUGUGCGGUUUCCUGAGACAACAACCCUGGGGGCUCAAAUACUCAAGCCGACUCCUAUGUUCAGAUAAGAAACAGGAGGAGCCCUUGGACAGAAAUACAAAAAACCCCAAUCCCUGAUUCGUGACAAUGGAAGCCGUUUUAAAGACUACGUGGAGUGAUGGUUUUGAAUGCACACAUGGCUACUCGGAAAGGCUUUUUCUUUUGUUUCUGAAUGUCCUCGUGAUAUUGGAAGAUUUCUUGUGUGAGUGAAAUCAUUCUUCUCUUUUAUACUGAAUUCUGUUGUAAAUGACAUUGCUAUGUAUUUCAAUGCAUUUGACUCAUUUAUGGAGGUGUUUCAAGCCCUGUUUCAUGAAUCAGAUGUUACCGUGUUAAGAUAUAUGCCAAUAAAAUUCUAGCUCUGGAAAAAGAUGCAGAAGAAAAACCCUUUAAAUCCAAUUGACUCAGUGAUAUCUCACAAGCAAUCUAAACCCAGCUUCGUAACCCCCCUGUGUGUUUUUAAGUGAAAUCUUCCUCCUACACCUACAAGGGGAUUCGGCAGAUGACAUGAAGUUUGCAAGGUUCACGGUGACCUCAGGAAGUCACCAGGCAGAAUUAAAGCUUCCCUCCUCCCACCCAAUCCAUUAAGAUUUCUGUUCUAAUUCCUUUAUCGAAGUUUCCUUUCCCAGGGUGCAGAUACGGGGCUAAACGCUUUGAAGACAGACUUUGUUUUAGUCCCUAGUUCCUGUUGCCCUUGAGAUUGGGGGGUGUGGUAAGUACAGAGAUGAAAAGCCGUCAAGGUCACAAUUAUUCCAGUGGACCUUAAAGACAGGUUUCAUCUUUAUUUCAAUAAGUUAACCAAGGAAAAAUAAGAUUCUUUUCAGGUUUCGGGGGUUUUUUGGUUUUUGUUGUUGUUGCUGUAUUUUUGGAAAAGAGAAAGAAAGGAGUAAUGUCCCACUGCACUGAAAAAUACACACGUCCUCCUGGGAUAACAAACAUAAUUCAUUCUCACUCUGGUAACCGGUGAGAUCACUUCCUGGUAG
rnacentral:lncRNA from 1 species